UGAGGAAUAUUGGUCAAUGGCCGCAAGGCUGAACCAGCCAAGUCGCGUGAGGGAAUAAGGCCCUAUGGGUCGUAAACCUCUUUUGUCAGGGAGCAAAGCCGCACACGAGUGAGCGGAAGGAGAGUACCUGAAGAAAAAGCAUCGGCUAACUCCGUGCCAGCAGCCGCGGUAAUACGGAGGAUGCGAGCGUUAUCCGGAUUUAUUGGGUUUAAAGGGUGCGCAGGCGGAGAGACAAGUCAGCGGUAAAAUUUCGGGGCUUAACCCCGGCGAGCCGUUGAAACUGUCUCCCUUGAGUGAGCGAGAAGUAAGCGGAAUGCGUGGUGUAGCGGUGAAAUGCAUAGAUAUCACGCAGAACGCCGAUUG
rnacentral:rRNA from 1 species